CAGUAGGGAAUCUUCCACAAUGGGCGAAAGCCUGAUGGAGCAACGCCGCGUGUGUGAUGAAGGGUUUCGGCUCGUAAAACACUGUUGUAAGAGAAGAAUGACAUUGAGAGUAACUGUUCAUACGUUGACGGUAUUUAACCAGAAAGUCACGGCUAACUACGUGCCAG
rnacentral:rRNA from 1 species